CCAGAAUCAAGUCUCGCCCUGUGGGACGUUUGUGUGACCCGACACCGCCGAGGAGCAGCGAAGGAGGAAACAGUUGCCCCUAAAGGACCCGACGCCCCCACCCGUCUCAAGUCAUCUCAAGUGCCCUGCGCUGAGUCAGACAGGUCUUACAGACAGAGAGGAACCAGUCACCUUCUCCCCUCUCGAUCUGAAUGGACCUUUGGCCGCGAUCAUCUCAAAGAGAGUGACUCCCAGGGUGAAGUAAUCCACAGAGUAAUCAUACUCCUCGCUUUUGAGGAGCUCUGGAGCCAUGAAGCCUGGCAGGGUGCAGGGCGAGAGUCAGCUUUUUUUAAGCCCAAGACGGAGUCAUGUUAAACUCUACCACACACUAUUUGCUCAACAUCUUCCUGAAAAAGUUAGUUUUCUGCUAUGGUUUAGCCUCUGGCUUCCUGUCUAACUUUCUAACUCGGUUCAUUGUCAGGGAGAUUGUUUCUUUUUUUUGUCAAACACUAAAUUAAUGUCAGGCAUAUGUGAGUUACCAAAGUGCCAGACAAACAGGUUAGGUGCUCACCAGGAGUUCCAGCAUAGCCUUUGAUCUUGAACUGGUCGUCUUUCAGUUCAACCGCCAGCCCAAGGUCAGAGAUACGGACAUUGCCUUGGCAAGAGAAAUUACACAAAUGUCAGUCACAGAUCAGAGAAAUAUCAGAGGGGUGCAUGUGUUGCCUGUAAAUAGGUGUUAUGAAGCUGAGCUGCUGAAACUGAUGCAGUGUUGAGACUGUACUCCCAAACUGGAGUGCUCACAGGCUCCAGACAGUUUGCGUUUCUGUGUGCACGGAUGGUCAUGCUUGUGUAGAUACCUUCGUUGUCCAACAGUACGUUCUCUGGUUUCAGAUCCCGGUAGAUGAUUCUCUUCUUGUGAAGGUGCUCCAUGCCGUUGAUGAUCUGGGCAGAGUAGUAGCAGGCCCGUGGCUCCUCAAAUCCGGGGUUGUUCUCAUCCACGUUGUAGAUGUGAUACCUGCCGUGACCAUGUGACUUACAGCACCAAUCACAUCCGAUCGUACAGCAGUAACACAAUGACACCAUACAUCUGGUCAUAAGAACACGGCUCCCAUAACAUAACUGAUCUCAGGACUAAAGUGAACACACUGCGGCUUUUAAAAUGAGCCUUUAAACGUCACUUAGUCCUAAAAGUCUGUGACAUCAUUGAGAAACAAACUGACAAACACAAGUUUAUGGCUGAAUUAAAACUGAUUAUCCCAGUCUAUGGCUCAAUAAAAGCUGUCGAACACAGUCUAUGACUCAAAUAAAACAGAUAUACCCAGACUGGCCCAAUUAAAGCAGAUGAACACAGUGUACGGCUCAAUUAAAGCUGAUUAACAGUCUAGGGCUCAAAUAAAACGGAUAAACCCA